UGAGUAACACGUGGGUAACCUGCCCAUCAGAGGGGGAUAACACUUGGAAACAGGCGCUAAUACCGCAUAAUAGUCGACACCGCAUGGUGUUGAUUUGAAAGACGCUUUCGGGUGUCACUGAUGGAUGGACCCGCGGUGCAUUAGCUAGUUGGUGAGGUAACGGCUCACCAAGGCGAUGAUGCAUAGCCGACCUGAGAGGGUGAUCGGCCACACUGGGACUGAGACACGGCCCAGACUCCUACGGGAGGCAGCAGUAGGGAAUCUUCGGCAAUGGACGAAAGUCUGACCGAGCAACGCCGCGUGAGUGAAGAAGGUUUUCGGAUCGUAAAACUCUGUUGUUAGAGAAGAACAAGUAGGAGAGUAACUGCUCUUACCUUGACGGUAUCUAACCAGAAAGCCACGGCUAACUACGUGCCAGCAGCCGCGGUAAUACGUANGUGGCAAGCGUUGUCCGGAUUUAUUGGGCGUAAAGCGAGCGCAGGCGGUUUCUUAAGUCUGAUGUGAAAGCCCCCGGCUCANCCGGGGANGGUCAUUGGAAACUGGGAGACUUGAGUGCAGAAGAGGAGAGUGGAAUUCCAUGUGUAGCGGUGAA
rnacentral:rRNA from 1 species